AUCAAUUCCAUACAUACCAGCAUUAUCCCAACGAAUCACGAAAAUCCUCUCUAAAGACUAUCCAAACAUUUAUAUAACUACCAGACAACAUCAAACAAUCCACAAACUGCACACCAAAGUGAAAGAUCCUGUAAAAAAAGACGAAAUUAAUAAUGUAAUCUAUAAAAUUCCCUGUAAUGACUGCAAUAGCUGCUAUAUAGGUAUGACUAGGAAUAAUUUACGCCGAAGAUUAGCUGGCCAUAAAUCAAAUGUAAACAAAUUGAACAAACUGAUGGACGAAAAUAACACUAAUACAAGAACAGCAAAAGCCACACUUAUAGAAACGACAACAGCAUUAAUUGAACAUUGCAUUGAACACAAUCACAGGUUCAAUCUAGAACAAACUAAAAUUAUAGAUCACAACCACAAACAAUCCACACUACCAUUCCUUGAAAUGUGCCACAUUACCAACACCAACAACACAGUCAACAAACGAACAGACAUAGAUAACCUAAGUACAACAUAUGCAGGAGUACUUCAUAGCAUAAAGAACAUUAAUAGAAAAAACGAAACAAUCAGAGAAGAUAAUUUAGACGAGAGUUAGAUUAUUCCGAUAGGGCACUUCAUCAAGCAAAUGAAACGAGCCACAUGAGGAGGGUUGAGCAAAAGGGAAAAAUUGCGCCAUUUGCCAAACAAGAAAUACGUAAAUUGAAAGUGGUUCCGAAUAGUCAUGUACCAACGACGAUUUAAACAUAGGACAGUUAAAGUUAGACCAAACACUAGACAAAAAACGACAAAUUAAUCUCCCCUGAGGAAGACACAAUCCCCGUGUCGAAACGUUG